GGAGGCGAGGGCUUGGGCUGAGAGAUGCGGGGAAGUGCACGGAAGAAUAGCUAGCCACGCACAGCAACGGAGGGGAGGUGCGCCCCCACCCCGACCAACGAUCCCAAGGAAUUCUCUGGUCCUGAUGAAUUAUCAUUCAGAGCCCUUUCGUCAUCUUCCCCUAAAGUUCAUCCCUCUAGUAGUAUGGACCAAAAUUAUUUGUGGUGCAAAAGAUGGAAGGUCUGGCUUCUAUAAUUGCUUCUCCACUGGACAUAUGUGUUGGCAGUUCAAGCCAUACCCCCAGCCUGUUUCUGUCUUUCCCUCAUGAGAGAGGCCUCUGGAGAGAGCAUAAUCUGAAAUGGCUCCUACUCUGUAGCCACUUAUACUACAAAAGCUUUAGUUUAAAGUAUAUACACAGUUUUGGGAGCCAGGCGGUAGUGCAGCACGUUAAGUGCACAUGGCACAAAGCACAAGAACCAGUGUAAGGAUCCCAGUUCGAGCCCCAGGCUCCCCACCUGCAGGGGGCUUGUUUUGCAAGGGGUGAAGCAGAUCUGCAGGUAUCUUAUCUUUCUCUCCCCUUCUCUAUCUUCCCCAUCUCUCUUGAUUUCUCUCUGUCCUAUCCGACAACAAUGACAACAAUAAUAACAACAAGGGCAACAAAAUGGAAAAAAUGGCCUCCGGGAGCAGUGGAUUCAUAAUACAGACACCAAGCCCCAGCGAUAACCUUGGAGGUAAAAAAAAAAAAAAUGUACACAGUUAUACAAGAGCUAACUGGAUCUUCACCCAGACCUAUUUAUACUUAGGCACAAUCAAGUGGAUUUGUUUAUAUUUUCCCAAACCACAAUAGAUUCAAGUGUUAACUAAAAAGAAUAGAAGAUUAAAAGGUCUAACUUGCUAACCAAACAAGAAGAUAAUAUCAUAUAAAAUAACAAUAAUAUGGCAUCAUUAUUAGGGCAAUGUAUUGCCAAAAUAACUAUGAGAACUUUGGAAACCCACAACUAAUGUUGAUUAUUAUAAAUCCAAGUUAAAAAAUGCAAAUAUUCUAUUUCGUAUAUGCUGAUUAAUAAGACGGGGGGGGGGGUGCUUUUUGGUCCUAGUGCCUGAGAGUGGAGGAGGACCUAGCUGGGGGCUGAGAGUGUUUUGCAGAAAACUAAGGAAUUUUACACAUGUACUAACAACUGUAUCUACUGUAAACCAUUUUCCCCCCCACAAAAAAAUGAAGUAUGAAAAAAUGUUUAGGAAAGUAGUUUUAAAUAGAAAUUAAUGAGCUAAAAGUGAGCUUGUAACAUAGCAAAAAAAAUAGUGUUUAUUAUAAUGUGCUUUAAAGCUUAUAAAGACUAUUUCAUCUGAUUUUCAGAAAAUAUCAGGAGGGCAAGUUGUAAUUGGCAAAAACAUUUUCUUAUGCCACAGUGAAACUGGGAAAUUAGAUGCUACCGUAAUUUUCUUAUUUAAUGAUAUAGUAUUUACUGAUACUUUCUGAUUUUUUUUUUAGAGAUCUGAUUAUGAUCUCAAGUAGCUUUAUAUUCCAACAUAUUUUUCAAUCGUGAUUUAUUAAAUUAAACAUUAUAUUCAAAUUAAGUUACCUAAAUCUUAUGAGCGGCAAAUCAUAUAAAUAUGUAAUAGAUGCAAAUUUUAUUAUUUAUAAUAUUUUAAAAGUGCAUGUAUCCUGGACAUUACCUUAUAAUUUUACAUUAAUUAUGUCCUGUCAAAGUAAAAGACUCUGGGGUGGGGGGGAGGGCUCAGGUCCUGGAACAUGAUGGCAGAGGAGGACCUAGUGGGGGUUGUAUUGUUAUGUGGAAAUGUUAUACAUAUACAAACUAGUGUAUUUUACUGUCAACUGUAAACCAUUAAU